rnacentral:sRNA from 2 species
AUCUGAAGCCUGACGAGGAUGAGAACCUCCGGGGGCAAGAGGUUCGACUCGAGCGCAGCGAGAGAACGUUGCGUCAGCAACGGCCCGCAGGGCGAGCCACGCAGUGGCGAGUCAUCCUCUAUCACCGACCA